GUCUACGGCCACACCUCCCCGAACAUGCCCCAUCUCGUCUGAUCUCGGAAACUAAGCAGGGUCGGGCCUAGUCAGGACUUGGAUGGGAGACAGUUGACUCCUAUUUGCCCCUUGCC
rfam:Erinaceus europaeus unplaced genomic scaffold scaffold00691, whole genome shotgun sequence